rnacentral:rRNA from 1 species
UACGAAGGGGGCUAGCGUUGCUCGGAAUCACUGGGCGUAAAGCGCACGUAGGCGGGUUCUUAAGUCAGGGGUGAAAUCCUGGAGCUCAACUCCAGAACUGCCUUUGAUACUGGGAAUCUCGAGUCCGGGAGAGGUGAGUGGAACUGCGAGUGUAGAGGUGAAAUUCGUAGAUAUUCGCAAGAACACCAGUGACGAAGGCGGCUCACUGGCCCGGUACUGACGCUGAGGUGCGAAAGCGUGGGGAGCAAACAGG